rnacentral:rRNA from 1 species
AGAGUUUGAUCCUGGCUCAGGACUAACGCUGGCGGCGUGCCUAAUACAUGCAAGUCGAGCGGAUUUAUUCCUUCGGGGAUAGGCUAGCGGCGGACGGGUGAGUAACACGUAGGCAACCUGCCUGUAAGACUGGGAUAACUACCGGAAACGGUAGCUAAGACCGGAUAGCUGGUUUCUCCGCAUGGAGAGGUCAUGAAACA